rnacentral:rRNA from 1 species
CCUACGGGUGGCAGCAGUAGGGAAUCUUCCACAAUGGGCGCAAGCCUGAUGGAGCAACACCGCGUGAGUGAAGAAGGGUUUCGGCUCGUAAAGCUCUGUUGUUAGAGAAGAACGUGCGUGAGAGUAACUGUUCACGCAGUGACGGUAUCCAGCCAGCAAGUGCCGGCUAACUACGUGCCAGCAGCCGCGGUAAUACGUAGGGGGCAAGAGUUAUCCGGAUUUAUGGGGCAUAAAGGGAGCGCAGGCGGCUGCUUAGGUCUGAUGUGAAAGCCCUCGGCUUAACCGAAGAAGUGCAUUGGAAACCGGGCGACUUGAGUGCAGAAGAGGACAGUGGAACUCCAAGUGUAGCGGUGGAAUGCGUAGAUAUAUGGAAGAACACCAGUGGCGAAGGCGGCUGUCUGGUCUGCAACUGACGCUGAGGCUCGAAAGCAUGGGUAGCGAACAGGAUUAGAUACCCUAGUAGUC